GUCACAUGUGGAUCUGAAGCCGCAGGUUGCAGACCCCUGAUCUAGAUAUUUAGUAAUGAUUUGCUAUUUGAAACUAUAGAUAAUAAUGCACACCUUUUAACAGAGAGACUUUUUUUUCCUUAUGAGCAUUUUUUUUCAACAAAAACAAAAUGUCUCUUACAUCUCUGACUAGUUGCAAUUGUUUCCUAGAAACAAUUGCAACUAAAAAGAAGAAAUGUGAUGAUAAACGUGUAAACAAAGCUAAUCUCCCCACAAGCUACACAAUGAGUAACUUCAUUAAGUUAGAACACCAGCAGCACAAGGUAAUCAAAAUCCUCAUGAACGUGCAUUUUUCAUUGAAAAGUGAACUCAUGGAUGUGACUAUUAUGCAAAAAAGCAGCAUCAUCACAUGAAUUAUGCUAAAAGUCCUUGGAAGAUUUUUUUUUUCUUAUUUCCGUGAUACCUUUUGGUUUUUCUGACACAUUUGCAUCUUUAGAUAUUUACCUUUACAGCACCAUAUUGCAAACUACACUAAACUGAAUUUUUGUUUUAAAGUAAAAGGUGAAGAGAGCUUAUUCUGCCAUUCACUCCAAUGAACUUAAUAAACCUGCUUCAAGCAGAGAAGCACAAACAGUGUCAUCAAGGACAGUGGAGUGUUUGUUACAAACCAAAUACCUGAAUGUUGAGUCACUGCUUCAGUUCAUUCUGGUACUAAAGCAAACGAGGAGCAUGACAGAGCCCAGCAGCCCAGCAGCAGCAGAAAGAAAGCCUGACAUUUUUCACUCAGAGCAGUUUUCAGCAUGUCUCUCAGGUGGGCCAAACACACUGACGGGCAGCCAAGGGUUCUCGCACCUGCACCACAACAAGCAUCUCACAGUUCCACUGACCUGAAUUGUGACGUGAUAAGACAAGUGUCAUCAGAGUCCAGCAUGUCAAAGCUUCUGAAUGGUCUACAGCCCCAUGAAAGCUCAGCCACUGCUUUGUAGGUCAUUACAUUUCAGUUUCAAGAAAACGAUGGAAGCUCUGACAGUCAUUUUAUCCCAUGACUUGCCCAGAGACUGUACUGAAUGCAUUUUUUGUAAAGGCUCUUUAUAGUAGCGCACAAGAUAUGUUUCUUAUGGAUAUUUUUUCUCCCCAAUUAAAGUAUUAAUGUCAUUACUUUGGACCAAACAGUAUGGUUUGUGGUUGUGUGCCAGAAUUCAAUGUCAAGAGAGCAAGAACAUCUCUGAGAUCUCAUUAAUGUUGUUGACCUUUGCUUUCCUUUACGUAAUUAAAACCCCCAAAUCACACAAACUAAACAUUUAAUUUAAAUGUUUCUAAAUAGAUAUUAACUGGGUUUACAAAAAAUGAGUUUUUUUUAAGUAUGAAGGACUUUCAUGGUCAAACUGCUGCAAUUUCAGAAGGUAUUGGACCAGAAUUUAUGUUUUAAUUAGGAGACAAGAUUGUUUAUUUAUUUGCAUUUUACUUGUUUUAUCCCUGUCUAGUAUUGCAAUAUAUUUUAUACUGUGUUUCACUGCUGUUUCAUUGUUUUUUUUCAGUGCAAAUUUAAUACUUUUUUAUUUAUCUCAAUGUUCUGUGUCUUGAUUGACUAUUGAACUUGUCAAUGAAUGUACAGUGUCUCCUGUACAGAAUGUGUUCAGUUUGCCAAAUUUACACAAAUUUUAGGUUGCUAUCAGAUUUGUGCUUUCAUUUUAUAACACUGAACUUAUUUUUUUCCUGAAAGUUUGAACUUUGAGAGAAAAGAGAGAAAAUGUUAAUGUCUGUCUGAAGUGUAUAGCGUGUGGCGAAGGGUUUUCCAACUUUAAAACAUCAGUAAUCCUUCUUUGCUGAUUUUUAAAUUGUAACCCUGGUAAUAAACGAGGGACCGAGUGGUCACUUAGUAAACUCAUCUGACUGCCUCUUUCAGUUUUCAUCACAGUGGACAAGACACGUUUGAUGGCAGCGAAAAAUGUGUGGAAACACAGAUUUUUGCAAAUACAUGUGACCACACAGCGUGGCAAAACAUCCUAAUGUUCCGUUUGUGUCAUUUUUGUGUGGAAAAACAACAGUGGGCUGAACUUUGUGAAUGGGUUUGCCAUUAAUUAUUGCUCACUUGUUUGUUUGUACACAAACAGACAAAUUUGUAUUUAAAAUUUUGAUUUAGAAUUUAUUAUCUUGCGAGAAAUACAAGGAAUCUGGAAAACUUCGCCUGCACUGUCCAGUAACAGGUAUUUAUCUCUGAGUCACACUACUAAUACUUUUAGCUAAAGAUGUCCUGGAUCUAAUUUAGGACAGUGAAUCAAAUCGGAUAUUUCAAUAUGAACUAAUAUCGACUAUAAAUCUCAUCAGUAACCACAAAUUUCAAUAUGAACUGAAUUGAUAAAAUGAAUCUUUACAGCCUAAUAAUCCACAUCAUUGUUUUCUAUCUUGCUUAAGUAAAAUUUAUCUUUGAUAAAGCAACUCAUUAAAGGCUCUGUUGCAUCUGUGUAUGAAUAUGAGCAGCUGAAAGAAAGAAAUCAGCGUUUUAACAAUAAAAUACAAUAAUAAAAGCAAAAUUGCAUCUGAAUUAUUUGUGUGAGAUCUACAUUCUAAAAUAACAUGGUUGUAGAAAACAAUGGUUGUCGCAGUGUAAGCCACACAAAUGUGUGUGAUGAAAAAAAAAUCUUUGCAUGUGUGGUGAGCUUUAAGAAGGGUUGCUAAAGCAGCAACAACAAAAACAAGCAGAGCCUGUUUUCUGUCAACACCGUAACAGAAAAAGUUCUGGCAAACCGUGUAAAGAAUAAAAAAAAAAAAAAACAAAAAAAAAAAAACACUUAUGCUAUAGUUAAAAUAUGUCAAGAAAAUGUUAAUACAUUUUGUAUUUUCUGUUUAUUUGCAGAUUCAACCUCCGACACAUUUAUAUAAAGACCCACUCUGAUCAUCUUUUUAUCUUUUUUACCCUCAGCUGUAUAAAGACAUACUCAGAAAUGCAGUUUUGAGCUGAAUUUUCUUUAUAUAUCAUUAGAAAAAUGCCACAAGAACAUCUUAAAAAUCGCCAAAAACACAAUUUUCAUGGGAGUGGGUGCUCAACACUACUAAGAGUAUUUCAAUAUUGUAAAAAUAAAGACUAAAACAACAAAAUGAGUCAUUUUAAGUGAAUUGUGUCUGUGUGCUCAGAUGACAUUUUAUGUUUCUUUAACAAUCAUUGAUAACAGAAGAAGAUACUAGCCUGUCCAGCAAAUGAUUUGGCCCACGGAAAAAAGAAGAAGAAAAAAAAAAUCUACUUUUUUAAAUUGAAGGAACCCACCUAUGGAGAUUAAAAGAACUAAUUAAAAAAGAUAACCUCACGUAUCUCAGAUUAAACUUUUUUUUAAUAAUGCUGUCAUUUGUUCUCCGGCUGCACGGCCUUGUCCUUUGCAGGACUGCCUCCAGUCAUGCAUGAAGGGAGCAAAAGGUCAGAAUGCAACUUCUGAAAGGCAGACUGCUCUGUGCCUGUGGUGAAUCCCAACACUAUUACACCCCAACAGAUGCUUAUUUCACGGCCAUUUUCAGUUGUGGGGUAAUUAAACAUUUCCAGAUAAGUACUUUUUAAUAACCAUUCACACACAAUAAAAUGUUUAUUUGCAAGACAACGUGUGGGAGGAAACCACAAAAUAAAAAUUAAUAAAAAAAGAUCAACUAGUGGGAGAAUGACUUUAAGGGCAGACCGGAACUAGCUGCAGAAUAACUCCAAGGUACUUUACUGACCUCAAAAGCAGAUUUCUACAAUCUUUCCUCACUGUGGAAUGAAAUCUUCCACUUUUUGGGGAGUCUCAAAAUAGAGCCUCUAGGCAGUCUUUGUCGAUUGAGCGGUUUAAGUGUUUCCAUCCCUGCAGGCAGAAAUCAACUCUGACGCACUCUGAGCCCGCCUUAGCUCCCCAUGACUGCCUAUGACCCACAGCAAAAGCUUUUGGAUCACUGGGCCAGUGCCUUACAAAGACGAAGGCCUUGCAGGUUGGUGGAACCAAUCGAAAAAAAAAAAAAAAAA